GAAGCUGACACCGCGACACUUGAAUUAGUUUUAGCAGAAGAGAAAUGGAGAAGCCAUAGAACAUUAAGGAUGCAUUCAAGAAGGCCUGAGACCAUGGAAAGCUUGCCUGCUCUCUACACUAUUUUCCAAGGAGAGGUUGCUAUGGUGACAGACUAUGGAGCAUUUAUCAAAAUCCCUGGCUGUCGGAAGCAAGGUCUGGUCCAUCGAACUCAUAUGUCAUCCUGUCGGGUGGAUAAGCCCUCUGAAAUAGUAGAUGUCGGAGACAAAGUGUGGGUGAAGCUUAUUGGCCGAGAGAUGAAAAAUGAUAGGAUAAAAGUAUCCCUCUCCAUGAAAGUUGUCAACCAAGGGACUGGGAAAGACCUUGAUCCCAACAACGUUACAUUGAGCCAGAAGAGAGAGGGCGUUCCUUCCAGGAUUACACUGGGCAAAAGAUCACCCUCGAGGCUGUCCUGAACACUACCUGCAAGAAGUGUGGUUGUAAAGGCCACUUUGCAAAAGAUUGCUUCAUGCAGCAGGGUGGGGGACCAAAUACCUCUGAUACCUGAUGAGGAAGAGGAGAAGAAGAAGCAAAGACUGCAGAAGUUGAGAAGCUGACCCAUGAAGAAUUCUCUAGAAAAAGAAAGAAGGAAGAAGAAAAAGAAACAUAGAGACAGAAGUCAUCCGACUCUGACAGCUCAGACUCUGAGAGAUACAGCCAAGAGGCAAGGGCACACAUCAAAAGACAGCAAGGCAGCAAGAAAAAAAAAAAAAAAAAAAAAAAAAAAAAAAAAAAAAAAAGAUUAG